UUCCAGACUCCUACGGGAGGCAGCAGUGGGGAAUAUUGCACAAUGGGGGGAACCCUGAUGCAGCGACGCCGCGUGAGUGAAGAAGUAUUUCGGUAUGUAAAGCCCUAUCAGCAGGGAAGAAGAAAUGACGGUACCUGAGUAAGAAGCACCGGCUAAAUACGUGCCAGCAGCCGCGGUAAUACGUAUGGUGCAAGCGUUAUCCGGAUUUACUGGGUGUAAAGGGAGCGCAGGCGGCACGGCAAGCCUGAUGUGAAAGCCCGCGGCCCAACCGCGGGACUGCAUUGGGAACUACCGGGCUGGAGUGCCGGAGAGGUAGGCGGAAUUCCUAGUGUAGCGGCGAAAUGCGUAGAUAUUAGGAGGAACACCAGUGGCGAAGGCGGCCUACUGGACGGUGACUGACGCUGAGGCUCGAAAGCGUGGGGAGCAAACAGGAUUAGAUACCCUAGUAG
rnacentral:rRNA from 1 species